AGUUGUUUCCCCCAAACAUGAAUGUAUGCUAUUUCAUCAUCGCUGUAUCAUUAUUAGUGUUUAAUGUAUUUGUGGUUUAAAAAAAACGUGUAGCUAGUUUCCCUUGCAAGACAAAAUGAAAACUCAGAAAAUAAUUCUCCUUGGAUGCAGCUUGCGAAAAGCACAUGAUGUUUUCGAAGUGGAGCAGUGUUUGUUAUUGACAUGAUGUAAAGUCUCUUGCCUGAUCCAGCAUAUUCUAGUAAAGGCCAACUCAUUUAGAUUGGGAAAAGAGCCAGUCAACAUCAAACCUGUAGCUAUGCCCAUUGUUGUGCCCACUGGUUUGUUAUGAGUUUUGUAUCUCAGGAGUUCUGCGGAGAAGACGGCUCUGAGUCAGCACCCAGGCUUAAACAAUCAAGCACAGUCAGCAUUGAUCAGUUACCAGGCAUGCACAACCAACUGCAGGGGUCCUCUGGUGCAGUGCAGUAACUCUGAAAAUUUGGUGUAAGAGGAGGAAUUGGGAAGUCGUGUUGGAGAUGUACAGAACAUUAGUGAAGUCUAUUCUGGAGUACUGUGUUUCAGGUCUGGUCACCAGAGGAUUCACUAGAGAUUUACCAGAAGGUGGCUCAAGUGUGGAAUAAACUUCCUGAGGAUGUGAUGGAUGCAGAUACAGUCACAACAUUUAAAAGAAGCAUAUAUCCCUGGAUCCAAAUGAUGACCUGGAACAAGUCUCAUCAUUGAGAGCCCCCUACCCACAAAAUGAAGAAAGCAAGGUGUGAGUCUUGAAGGUUCUCCCAGGAUCAGUUGAAUGGGGAGCACAGCCUUACUGGAGAUCCAGGCAAAGAUUCAGCAAUUAUCAGUCAAGAUAAGAACAGACCAUCUCUACAAAGAGCUGUGGAAGUGAGAUCUCCAGGAUUAUGAUGAACUAUUAACUGAGGAGAACUUUCAUCCCAAUGAAGGAGUGAUUAUUAAACAAUAAAAAUAAAGCUGGAAAAAAAGUUGGAAGUGUUCCUUUAAAUUCAAAGAAGAUUUCCAUGAAGAAUUGAGACCACGUUAAGGAUGGAGAUCACCAGCAGCAUGGAGAUUAUCUUUUUGACAAGAGGCUUAGAAGCACAUAAGAAGUAAUUAUGUAACCACCAUAGAACUGGAGUCUGAAUCUGUAAGAGUACAGCACCAUUUCUUUC